CACGCGUUACAACGCACGGAACACAGGGCUGCAAGACCGCAAGGUUUAGCCAAUCCCAUAAAUCUGUUCUCAGUUCGGAUCGCAGUCUGCAACUCGACUGCGUGAAGCCGGAAUCGCUAGUAAUCGCGGAUCAGCAUGCCGCGGUGAAUACGUUCCCGGGCCUUGUACACACCGCCCGUCACACCACGAGAGUUUGCAACACCCGAAGUCGGUGAGGUAACCUCUAUGGAGCCAGCCGCACGA
rnacentral:rRNA from 1 species